GUGGCACAAGUAAAACUGUCUCUCUGGUGCUGCUGUUCCUGGUUUGUUUGAAGAUGCAUGAAGGAUAUUCUUUAAAACAAUUUUUCCAUGUUUCCCCUUUCAGAUCUUGACCUGAUGGCCUGAGGAUAUCAAAACACCCACAGCAGAGAACAAGAUGUAGAGGAAGCUCCAGCCCUCAGUGCAAGGAGCAGCUCUGAAAGACAGCAGGUGUCAAAUCCAGAAUUCAACUGACCCGUAACAAAAACACCAAAUUCCAGUUUUAGUAAAAUCUAGAUGCCCAGAAGCAUCAUUUAUUGCAAAUCAGUUAACCAAAAAAAAUACAUCAUUUUUGCAAACUACAACUUUGCAUGUAGAUAACUUUAUUACAGAAGAUAUCUUUUCUUAAACUACACUCUAGUUUAUAAAACAUAGGAAGAUUCAACACCACGUGAUGUUUUUAUCACUCAUAUUAGGCGUGUCACAAUAACAAUGGUCUGAAAUGUUAACUAAGAUGAGUGCUCAGCAAGGCGCUGUGCCUUGAGAAAUAUCCAUUUUAUUUGGUGUUCUAAUAGAGAAGAAUGAGGAAAAGGAACCCUUUUCUUAGGUUUUCUUGAUUAACUGCUCUCUAUCUGCCUGUCCCAUACACAUUAUCUAGUCUUGGAGUGUCUGCUUGCUUUUGCACCCGAGUGAGUGAUAUUCCAACACCUCUAUAAGGUGAUAUAUUUAUGAUAUAUUUAAGACUUGCUCAUUUAGAUUUUUGAAACAAAAUCCACCUUUUCUUGAAAAAAAAAACAAAACAAAAAACCAAACCAAAAAAACCCCCAUAUUUACAAACAUUAAAUCUGCCACAGGCUUAUACUAUAUUUUACAUGAUACACAGAGAGAGUGCACAUCAAUAUAAAAAAAGAUGCAUCACUCCAGGCUAACGUCACAGAACAAAAUGUCAACGUUUCACAGCACAGCUGUGCUGGCCCCUCGCCCUCCAGUUUGGCCAGUCCAGCCUCCCACCAAAACCAGCAGCACAUCCCACUGGGCACCCAGUGAGGGCUCUGCCAGAGGAGCUGGGGCCGGGCGAGCACGUGGGGGUGGCAGUGUGAUAAUGCUUUGUAAUCUCACUCAGGGUGUCUGCACUGCCAGACACACCUUCUUUUAAAAAAUAGGCAGGCCAUCCUUAAAAUAAGGAUGUGGUUUACAAAGUUUAUAUUGGCAUUUAUUUCUUAAAACGGUUACUCAAAGGCAAACAUGAAAACAAAACAAAAAAAAAAAAUCAGUAAAGAUAUUCAAAGUAAAAUUAAGUCUCCUUUGUGUAUAUACUCCAUACUUACGGGCUUGCUCUCUUGGAAGUUUGGCAAAUA